UUUGCUGAUGAACUAAGUCAACCUCAGCACUAACCUUGCGAGUCAUUUCUUUGAUUUGGUCAUUGGUAAAAUACUGACCAGCCGUUUGAGCUUGAGUAAGCAUUUGGCGCAUAAUCUCGGAAACCUGCUGUUGCUUGGAAAGAUUGGUGUUUUCCAUAAUAGACGCAACGCGAGCAGUAGACUCCUUCUGUUGAUAAGCAA
rnacentral:rRNA from 1 species